GAUUAAUUGGAAUUCUUCAAAAUGUCGGGUGUGGUACCCACAGCCCCUGAACAGCCUGCAGGUGAAAUGGAAAAUCAAACAAAAGCACCAGAUCCAAGGCCUGAUGCUCCUCCUGAAUACAAUUCUCAUUUUUUACCAGGACCCCCUGGAACAGCUGUCCCUCCACCUACUGGCUACCCAGGAGGCUUGCCUAUGGGAUACUACAGUCCACAGCAACCCAGUACCUUCCCUUUGUACCAGCCAGUUGGUGGUACCCAUCCUGUCCGGUAUCAGCCUGGCAAAUAUCCUAUGCCAAAUCAGUCUGUUCCAAUAACAUGGAUGCCAGGGCCAACUCCUAUGGCAAACUGCCCUCCUGGUCUGGAAUACUUAGUUCAGUUGGACAACAUACAUGUUCUUCAGCAUUUUGAGCCUCUGGAAACUGGAGGUGCAGUGUCCUCCUGGUGUCACCAUUGGCUUUGUUGCGGAACAUUGGAACCUGUGCAGGGCGGUGUACAGCAUCCAAAAUGAGAAGAAGGAAAAUGUGAUGAGAGUUCGUGGGCCAUGCUCAACCUAUGGCUGUGGUUCAGAUUCUGUUUUUGAGGUGAAACUAUGUAAAAAUAGUGUUUCUGAUAUUUUUCCUACUCAUAUUAACAGACCAUGGAAAGAUCUGGUUGUAGACAUUUUUUUUAAUGUGAAUGAAUAACAUAGUGUUAGGAAAGAGUUAAUUAACCAGUUGACAUCAAAAGAUUUUAAAGUUAUUGUGAGUAGAUUGAGGUUUUCCAAAAUGAAAGCUUUUUUUAUGACUUCAGUGCUUGAUAAAAAUAAAA
rnacentral:sRNA from 1 species